rnacentral:rRNA from 1 species
UACGUAGGGUGCAAGCGUUAAUCGGAAUUACUGGGCGUAAAGCGUGCGCAGGCGGUUUUGUAAGUUUUGUCGUGAAAGCCCCGGGCUCAACCUGGGAAUUGCGAUGAAGACUGCAAGGCUUGAAUCUGGCAGAGGGGGGGUAGAAUUCCACGUGUAGCAGUGAAAUGCGUAGAGAUGUGGAGGAACACCGAUGGCGAAGGCAGCCCUCUGGGUCAAGAUUGACGCUCAUGCACGAAAGCGUGGGGAGCAAACAGG